rnacentral:rRNA from 1 species
ACCCGCUGAAUUUAAGCAUACAAGUACGCAGAGGAACUGAAACCAAAAUUGACUCCUUCAGUAAUGGCGAAUGAACAAGGAGCAGCUCAACAUGGAAAUCAAAGCUUGUCGGCUUGAGUUGUAUUUGCUAGGUGUUGCACCAGUGGGGGCGCAGGUGUAAGACUGGUGGAAGAGAGCAUCAGCGAAGGUGAGAGUCCCGUGUAAUUCCUGCAGCCCCUUGCGUACGGUGUGCUCAUAAAGAAUCGCGCUCCUUGGAAAUGGAGCGUAAAGCAAGUGGUACCCUUUACUUCAAGCUAAGCAUAAGCGCGAAACCGAUAGUGAACAAGUACCAUGAGGGAAAAAUGAAAAGAACUUUGAGAAGAGAGUUAAACAGUGUUUGAAAUUGCUGACAUGGAAGCGAGGGUAAUUUGUGCGACAUAACGAGACUGCUACGUGCAUUUUUGCACAUGCCUGCCACCCUGCCCGAAGAACCGGGGGGGGGGGGUGGAGCGUGCUGGCAAUGCGUGCGUGGUGUUUCUCAUUAUGUCAAUCACGGAAGCUUGUGCGUGGUAAAAUUGUUUGUACAUAAGUGUAGGUCUUUGGGUUUGGCGAAUGUUAUUUUCUGCUUUUGCCCACAAGCUGCUCGGUGAUUAUAAAAUUACUUUCGGCCCGUCUUGAAACACGGACCAAGGAGUCUAACACCCAUGCAAGCUCUCGAGCUCUAGAAGCUUGCGUGCACAAUGAAAAUAGCUGCUGGGCUGUGGGCACCAGCAACCAGCCAUUCGCUUGGGAAAGGCUUGAGUAUGAGUGUGGCUGUUAGGACCCGAAAGAUGGUGAACUAUGCUUGUGAAGGGCAAACUCAGGGGAAACUCUGAUGGAGGCCCACAGCGAUACUGACGUGCAAAUCGUUCGUCAUACAUGGGCAUAGGGGCGAAAGACUAAUCGAGCCGUCUAGUAGCUGGUCCCCUUCGAAGUAUCCCUCAGGACAGCUGGAGCAGUACAGCUUUAUCAAGUAAAGCAAAUGAUUAGAGGAAUCGGGGGCAUGUUGACCUCGACCCAUUCUCAAACUUUAAAUGGGUAAGGUUCUGUUGUUACGCAGCUGAACUUCUGGGACCAGUGGCGCUUCUAAGUGGGCCAUUUUUGGUAAGCAGAACUGGCGAUGAGGGAUGAGCCUAACGCUUGGUUAAGGUGUUUAAUGGCACGCUCAUCAGAUACCAUAAAGGGUGUUGGUUCAUUUGAACAGUAGGACGGUGGUCAUGGAAGUCGAAAUCCGCUAAGGAGUGUGUAACAACUCACCUACCGAAUGAAGUAGUCCCGAAAAUGGAUGACGCUCAAGCGGGCAACCUAUACCGUGCCGCUGCUGCAACAAUGUCGCUACAGUGAGUAGGAGGGUGUGGAGGCUUGCGAUGAAGCUUGUGGCGCAACCCUGAGUGGAGCAGCCCCCGGUGCAGAUCUUGGUGGUAGUAGC